GCUGGAACCUUCGACAUUGUUUGGGAUAGAUCUGGAUACACAGCCGUGAGGGUGAAAGACCGUGCUAGAUAUGCUGCAGUAAUCAAGGAUGUGCUGGCCGAAGACUUCUCGUACGGCAUGUGGACAAUUGUUUAUGAUACACGGGGUAUGGCUGCUGAAGAAACAGAGGGGCCCAACAGCGCUGGAGAGUCUGCCCUCCAGGAGGAUUUUGGUGAUGUAGUAGCCAAGAUUGAACUGCUGGAUAGCGAGGUCCACCAGAGGCAACGAUUCGCACAAGGCCGCGGACCAUUCACCUGCUGCCUCUGGCACAUGACACCUAAGUUGUAUUGAAGGCUUGCCGUUGAUUUAAUCUUAAUUACAACGUUUCUAGUACUGUAGUCCGUACAUUAUACAAAUUGGACUGAGGUUGAUAUGUGCUUUUCGGGGCGCGUUUGU
rnacentral:lncRNA from 1 species